rnacentral:tRNA from 1 species
GGCGACAUAGCCAAGUGUUAAGGCAAAGGUCUGCAGAACCUUGAUCCCCUGGUUCAAAUCCGGGUGUCGCCUCCA